GAUUUCCGAGCUGGUCUUGCCGGCGGCCGUCCAGCUCAGACACUGGAUUU
rnacentral:sRNA from 1 species